CAAUAGCGUAUAUUAAAGUUGUUGCAGUUAAAAAGCUCGUAGUUGGAUUUCUGGUGGGAGCGAUCGGUCUGGCGCUUAGCGCGAGUACUUGCAUCGUCUCCGGCCAUCCUUGGGGAGAGUCUGUCUGGCAUUAGGUUGUCGGGCAGAGGAUCCUCAUCGUUUACUGUGAAAAAAUUAGAGUGUUCAAAGCAGGCUUAUGCCGUUGAAUAUAUUAGCAUGGAAUAAUAAGAUAGGACUUUGGUACUAUUUUGUUGGUUUGCGCACCAAAGUAAUGAUUAAUAGGGACAGUUGGGGGUAUUCGUAUUCCGUUAUCAGAGGUGAAAUUCUUGGAUUUACGGAAGACGAACUACUGCGAAAGCAUUUACCAAGGAUGUUUUCAUUAA
rnacentral:rRNA from 1 species